GAAAUACGAUAAGUAGUGUGAAUUGCAGAAUUUAGUAAAUUAUUAAAUCUUUAAACGCACAUUGCGCCCUUUAGUAUUCCUUAGGGCAUGCCUGUUUAAGCGUCAUCUAAACCUUCAAGCACUGCUUGGUGUUAGGUGCCUAUCCUGCCCCUGCGCGUAGACUCACCUCAAAUCUAUUAGCGGCCCUUACGUUAGCUACAAGCGCAGCAGAAACACGAACUUGUAGACCUAGCAGAGUAGCUCCUAGAAGCUACAUUCACUAUUUUAACCUUAGAUUAGGUAGGGAUACCUGCUAAACUUAA
rnacentral:misc_RNA from 1 species